rfam:Danio rerio chromosome 23, GRCz11 reference primary assembly.
CACACAUUCAUUUGUAAGUUGCUUUGGAUAAAAGCGUCUGCUAAAUGACUAAAU